rnacentral:rRNA from 1 species
UACGAAGGGGGCUAGCGUUGCUCGGAAUCACUGGGCGUAAAGCGCACGUAGGCGGCUUUUUAAGUCAGGGGUGAAAUCCUGGAGGCUCAACUCCAGAACUGCCUUUGAUACUGAGAAGCUUGAGUCCGGGAGAGGUGAGUGGAACUGCGAGUGUAGAGGUGAAAUUCGUAGAUAUUCGCAAGAACACCAGUGGCGAAGGCGGCUCACUGGCCCGGUACUGACGCUGAGGUGCGAAAGCG